rnacentral:tRNA from 1 species
UGGCUCAGUGGGAGAGUGCUUGCCUUGCAUGCAAGAGGCCCUGGGUUCAAUUCCUCAG